rfam:Felis catus isolate Cinnamon breed Abyssinian chromosome A2, whole genome shotgun sequence.
GCCUGAGCGGCUCAGUCGGAUGAGCAUCCGACUUCGGCUCAGGUCGUGAUCUUGAAGUUUGUGGGUUCGAGCCCCACAUCGGGCU